CCAUACCGUUUAAUACCGUACCGUAUACCUACCGAAUUAAUAUGGUAUCAUACCGUACCGUACCAAUCUUGUAUGACAUGGGUGCGGUACCAUAUAUCAGCCACCGAAUGCCACCGUACCGUACCGAAUAGUAACCCUAAACAAAAAAUACGCGAGUUUUUUUCACUUUGUCGUCAACUCGAUCUCUCACUCACCCAACAGACCCAAACUCUCGAACUCUCCUCCCACUCCCAGCCAGCUCUCUCUUUCUCUCAAACUCUCGAUCUUUCUCAGUCACCCACCCUCAAUCGAUCGAACCAGGCCAAAACAAACCCUUGGGUCUCUGUCUCUUUGUCACUCUCUCACUUUCACGAUCUCUGUCUCAGUCACUCAAUCUCUCGAAUUUGAUCGAUCUCUCGAUCUAUGUCUCACUCUCGAUUCAAUCUCUGUCUCUCUCUCAAUCUCUCUCUGUCUCAGUCUCUCAAUCUAUCUCUCUCAGUCUCAGUCUCUCGAUCUUCCUCUCUCUGUCUUUGAAGCCCCAAAUUGACGAUCUAUCGAUCUCUCAAUCUGUCUGGAAGCCCCAAAUCGACGAAGCCUGCUCCUCUCGAUCACUCUCUCUGUCUGGAACUGGAAGCCCCAAAUCGAAGACUCAAACUCAAAUGAAAUUGCAAAUGAUGGGGAUACUUGAAUCCAAAUUGUGGGCUGCAAAUGAAGCUUGGAUUGCAUAACUUUCUGUUUUUGUCAUUUAUGUUUGGAUUGUGUUUGUAGUUUUGUAAGCCAUAAGGCAUAAUUAUCAUUUAUUUUGGUUUGUUGAUGUAUAUUGAUUUGGUUGAUUAUGGUUUGGAUGUUGAAUUUGUUGAA